CCGAUGGCGAAGGCAGGUCUCUGGGCCAAUACUGACACUGAGGAGCGAAAGCGUGGGGAGCGAACAGGAUUAGAUACCCUGGUAGUCCACGCCGUAAACGGUGGGCGCUAGUUGUGCGAACCUUCCACGGUUUGUGCGACGCAGCUAACGCAUUAAGCGCCCCGCCUGGGGAGUACGAUCGCAAGAUUAAAACUCAAAGGAAUUGACGGGGCCCCGCACAAGCAGCGGAGCAUGCGGCUUAAUUCGACGCAACGCGAAGAACCUUACCAAGGCUUGACAUAUACAGGAAUAUGGCAGAGAUGUCAUAGCCGCAAGGUCUGUAUACAGGUGGUGCAUGGUUGUCGUCAGCUCGUGUCGUGAGAUGUUGGGUUAAGUCCCGCAACGAGCGCAACCCUCGUUCUGUGUUGCCAGCAUUAAGUUGGGGACUCACAGGAGACUGCCGGGGUUAACUCGGAGGAAGGUGGGGAUGACGUCAAAUCAUCAUGCCCCUUAUGUCUUGGGCUGCACGCAUGCUACAAUGGCUGGUACAAACGGCUGCGAUACCGCAAGGUGGAGCGAAUCCGAUAAAGCCAGUCUCAGUUCGGAUUGGGGUCUGCAACUCGACCCCAUGAAGUCGGAGUUGCUAGUAAUCGUAGAUCAGCAACGCUACGGUGAAUACGUUCCCGGGGCUUGUACACACCGCCCGUCACAUCACGAAAGUCGGUAACACCCAAAGUCAGUGGCCCAACCGUAAGGAGGGAGCUGCCAAAGGUGGGAUCGGUGAUUGGGAUGAAGUCGUAACAAGGCU
rnacentral:rRNA from 1 species